rnacentral:rRNA from 1 species
CCUUAAUAAAGGACCUUAGGUCUGAAGUAUUGAGGGUGAGGCCUGCCCAGUGGUUGUAUUUAAAACUGAGUAAUAAAAUAAGCUACUUGACUAAGAACAAUUAAAUGGCCGCGGUAACUCUGACCGCGAUAAAGUAGCGCAAUCAAUAGUCAAUUAAUUGUUGACAAGUAUGAAUGGCUUAACGAGUGCCCCGCUGUCUCAAGAUAAAUACCAAUGAAAUUGAAUUCGUAGUGAAGAUGCUACGUGUAAAUUGUUAGACGAGAAGACCCCGUUGAGCUUUACUGGAGACUUAUAUUGUUUUUUUCAAUUUAUGAAGCAGGUGUACUACUUAAUUUUUUGGUGAGAACUAAUUAUGGGUGUAAGUUGGACAGUUUGAUUGGGGCGAUCGCCUUCUAAAGAGUAACGAAGGUGCACAUAAGGUGAAUACUGUAAUAGAAUAAAAUAAAAGCUUGACAGUAAGAGUAAUUUCCGAGCUGACACGGUGGUUAAUAACCGUGGGUUAUAGUGACCCGUUUGUUUAGGGUGGGAUAACUAACGAUCAAUAAAUAAAAGUUACCACGGGGAUAACAGCGUAAUCUCGUUUGAGAGUUCGUAUCGAUGACGAUGUUUGCGACCUCGAUGUUGAAUUGCGGUUUCCUGGGGGUGCAGCCGCUUCCAAGGGUUGGACUGUUCGUCCAUUAAAACCGUACAUGAUUUGAGUUCAGACCGGCGUGAGCCAGGUCGGUUUCUAUCUACAAUUUAUUUAGGAAACAUUAAAUACAACUACACCUUAGUACGAAAGGAUCGGGUGUUUAGUUAUCCGCUGGUGUACCAAUUGUAUUGCUGUUGGGUGGCUAACGAUAAAA